GGAGAGGUUUGGAACACUGGGGGUCCCUGAGGAGAGGUUUGGAACACUGGGGGUCCCUGAGGAGAGGUUUGGAACACUGGGGGUCCCUGAGGAGAGGUUUGGAACACUGGGGGUCCCUGAGGAGAGGUUUGGAAUGGCUGGGGGUCCCCAAGGAGAGGUUUGGAACACUGGGGGUCCCUGAGGAGAGGUUUGGAACACUGGGGGUCCCUGAGGAGAGGUUUGGAACACUGGGGGUCCCCAAGGAGAGGUUUGGAACACUGGGGGUCCCCAAGGAGAGGUUUGGAACACUGGGGGUCCCCGAGGAGAGGUUU